rnacentral:sRNA from 1 species
GGUAUACCUCACGCCCGUGGGGUCGAACAGGCGGAAUGGGGGACGCCUGUUCAUUACAAAAGCGUCU